rnacentral:tRNA from 1 species
UCAUGGCGUAGUGGUUAACGCGCCCCAACUAGAGAGCGGGGAGUCGUGAGUUCGAUUCUCACUGA